CAAGGCAUUUUCCAUGCUGGUGUUCGUAGAAUCACCAGAGAGACCCCUGGGUUGGAAGGGAUCUUAAACAUAACCCAGUUCUUUGGGCAGGGACAUCUUCCUCCAGACCAGGCUGUUCCAAACCUCAUCCAACCUGGCCUCAACCACUCCCAGGGAUGGAGAAGUUUAUCCUGCUGUACAAUGCCUGGAGGGAGUAGUUUUGAGCUUGAGCGCGUCUGGCUCGUUCUGUAGCAGCACCAGGCUCGGUUUAGUUGAUCAGAGUAAAUUUGCUUGGAUCUCCUAAUGAAUGCAAAGAAUUUGCAAUGCAAGUGACCCUCCAGUCGUGCUGGACCUAUGGACACUUCUCUCAGAGCUGUGAACAUGGGGAAGCAGCUGGGAAUCAGCCCUGGAUGCACCUACAGCCCUCUGCAGCCCCAGGACAGCCUGUAUCCAUUGGGAUUGCCCAACCACGGCCCACCAGCUCCUGGUGGUGGAGUUGGAGACCUUGGCAGUGGCCUGUGCCCGACUGAGUUGACAGAAGAAACGCAUUGGUCCCAAGAGAAAAAAAAAUUCACCUGGAAUUUCACUCGAGGAAAGAAAGAAUUGUGUAAAAAUGGUGUUGCUAUUGACUCUGUUGUUUCCACUGGUAAGGUAACAGCACAUGUUGAAGCUUUUAUUUAAA